UACGUAGGGUGCAAGCGUUAAUCGGAAUUACUGGGCGUAAAGCGUGCGCAGGCGGCUUUGCAAGACAGAUGUGAAAUCCCCGGGCUUAACCUGGGAACUGCAUUUGUGACUGCAUGGCUGGAGUGCGGCAGAGGGGGAUGGAAUUCCGCGUGUAGCAGUGAAAUGCGUAGAUAUGCGGAGGAACACCGAUGGCGAAGGCAAUCCCCUGGGCCUGCACUGACGCUCAUGCACGAAAGCGUGGGUAGCAAACGGG
rnacentral:rRNA from 1 species